GACGAACGCUGGCGGCGUGCUUAACACAUGCAAGUGGAGCGACGAACCAGGGCUUGCCCUGGGGCAGAGCCGCGAACGGGUGAGUAACACGUGGGUUACCUGCCUCGAUGACCGGGACAACCCGAGGAAACUCGGGCUAAUACCGGAUGUGCCCGCAAGGGGAAAGGAAGCUUCGGCCUCCGCAUCGAGAUGGGCCCGCGGCCCAUUAGCUUGUUGGUGAGGUAACGGCUCACCAAGGCUUCGAUGGGUAGCUGGUCUGAGAGGACGAUCAGCCACACUGGGACUGAGACACGGCCCAGACUCCUACGGGAGGCAGCAGUGGGGAACCUGGCGCAAUGCGCGAAAGCGUGACGCAGCAACGCCGCGUGGGGGAAGAAGGCUUUCGGGUUGUAAACCCCUUUCAGUUGGGACGAAGCUUCGGCGGUUAAUAGCCGUUCGGAGUGACGGUACCUUCACAAGAAGCACCGGCUAACUACGUGCCAGCCGCCGCCGUAAAAC
rnacentral:rRNA from 1 species